UACGUAGGGUGCAAGCGUUAAUCGGAAUUACUGGGCGUAAAGCGAGCGUAGUCGGUUAUUUAAGUCGGAUGUGAAAGCCCCGGCUCAACCUGGAAUUGCACUCGAUACUGGAUAGCUAGAGUUCGGCAGAGGAAGCGGAAUUUCCGGUGUAGCGGUGAAAUGCGUAGAUAUCGGAAGGAACAUCAGUGGCGAAAGCGGCUUCCUGGACCAGAACUGACGAUCAGGCUCGAAGCGUGGGAGCAACAGG
rnacentral:rRNA from 1 species